UACGAAGGGGGCUAGCGUUGCUCGGAAUUACUGGGCGUAAAGCGUGCGCAGGCCGGUUUUGUAAGUCUGUCGUGAAAUCCCCGGGCUCAACCUGGGAAUGCGAUGGAGACUGCAAGGCUAGAAUCUGGCAGAGGGGGUAGAAUCCACGUGUAGCAGUGAAAUGCGUAGAGAUGUGGAGGAACACCCGAUGGCGAAGGCAGCCCCUGGGUCAAGA
rnacentral:rRNA from 1 species